CGGCUACCACAUCCAAGGAAGGCAGCAGGCGCGCAAAUUACCCACUCCCGUCACGGGGAGGUAGUGACGAAAAAUAACGAUACGGAACUCAUACGAGGCUCCGUAAUCGGAAUGAGUACACUUUAAAUCCUUUAACGAGGAUCUAUUGGAGGGCAAGUCUGGUGCCAGCAGCCGCGGUAAUUCCAGCUCCAAUAGCGUAUAUUAAAGUUGUUGCGGUUAAAAAGCUCGUAGUUGGAUCUCGGUUUCACUCAGGCGGUACACCUUGCGGUGUUCACUGUCUGGGCGGACGUUUCUGUUGGUUCGCUGUUGGUUCUCUUAAUCGAGUGCCAAUUGGUGGCCAGCACGUUUACUUUGAAAAAAUUGGAGUGCUCAAAGCAGGCGUUACAGCCUGAACAUUAGUGCAUGGAAUAAUGGAAUAGGAUCUCGAUUCUAUUUCGUUGGCUUUCGGAGUCGAGGUAAUGAUUAAUAGGGACAGACGGGGGCAUUCGUACUGCGACGUUAGAGGUGAAAUUCUUGGAUCGUCGCAAGACGAACUACUGCGAAAGCAUUUGCCAAGAAUGUUUUCAUUAAUCAAGAACGAAAGUUAGAGGUUCGAAGGCGAUCAGAUACCGCCCUAGUUCUAACCAUAAACGAUGCCAACCGGCGAUCCGUCGUCGUUAAUUGAAUGACUCGACGGGCAGCCUCCGGGAAACCAGAGUGUUUGGGUUCCGGGGGAAGUAUGGUUGCAAAGCUGAAACUUAAAGGAAUUGACGGAAGGGCACCACCAGGAGUGGAGCCUGCGGCUUAAUUUGACCCAACACGGGAAAUCUCACCAGGCCCGGACACCGGAAGGAUUGACAGAUUGAGAGCUCUUUCUUGAUUCGGUGGGUGGUGGUGCAUGGCCGUUCUUAGUUGGUGGAGCGAUUUGUCUGGUUAAUUCCGAUAACGAACGAGACUCUGGCCUACUAACUAGAAGGGUCGUUCUUUACGAGCGGCCCUCUGCUUCUUAGAGGGACGGGCGGCGUUUAGCCGCACGAGAAUGAGCAAUAACAGGUCUGUGAUGCCCUUAGAUGUUCUGGGCUGCACGCGCGCUACACUGAAGGAAUCAGCAUGUUCUCCCCUCCCUGAAAAGGGCGGGUAACCCGUUGAAACUCCUUCGUGAUGGGGAUUGGAGAUUGUAAUUAUUCUCCAUGAACGAGGAAUUCCCAGUAGGCGCGAGUCAUCAGCUUGCGUCGAUUACGUCCCUGCCCUUUGUACACACCGCCCGUCGCUACUACCGAUCGAGUGAUUUAGUGAGGACUUCGGACUGGUCUCCAAGUUGGCUUCGGUCAGCUCGGAGUUCCGGAAAGAUGCCCAAACUUGAUCACUUAGAGGAAGUAAAAGUCGUAACAAGGUU
rnacentral:rRNA from 1 species